rnacentral:rRNA from 1 species
AGAGUUUGAUCCUGGCUCAGGACGAACGCUGGCGGCGUGCCUAACACAUGCAAGUCGAGCGAGAAUCCGGCGAUCAUCUUUCGGGGUGAGAGUUGGAGGAAAGCGGCGAACGGGUGAGUAACGCGUGGGUAACCUACCCUGUACAGCGGGAUAACACUGGGAAACUGGUGCUAAUACCGCAUGAGGCAUACAUGUGGCAUCACGUGUAUGUUAAAGGGGGAACCCGGUACGGGAUGGGCCCGCGUCCAAUUAGCUAGUUGGUGAGGUAACGGCUCACCAAGGCGAGGAUUGGUAGCCGAGCUGAGAGGUUGGUCGGCCACAUUGGGACUGAGACACGGCCCAGACUCCUACGGGAGGCAGCAGUGGGGAAUAUUGCGCAAUGGGGGAAACCCUGACGCAGCGACGCCGCGUGAAGGAAGAAGGUCUUCGGAUCGUAAACUUCUUUGACUGGGGACGAAGUAAGUGACGGUACCCAGGGAACAAGCCACGGCUAACUACGUGCCAGCAGCCGCGGUAAUACGUAGGUGGCGAGCGUUGUCCGGAAUUACUGGGUGUAAAGGGCGUGUAGGCGGGAGAGCAAGUCGGAUGUGAAAUCCCAAGGCUCAACUUUGGGGCUGCAUCUGAAACUGUUCUUCUUGAGUACUGGAGAGGGAAGCGGAAUUCCUAGUGUAGCGGUGAAAUGCGUAGAGAUUAGGAGGAACACCAGUGGCGAAGGCGGCUUCCUGGACAGAGACUGACGCUGAGGCGCGAAAGCGUGGGGAGCGAACAGGAUUAGAUACCCUGGUAGUCCGCGCCGUAAACGAUGGAUACUAGGUGUAGGAGGUAUCGACACCUUCUGUGCCGGAGUUAACACAAUAAGUAUCCCACCUGGGGAGUACGGCCGCAAGGUUGAAACUCAAAUGAAUUGACGG